rnacentral:rRNA from 1 species
AUACGGAGGGUGCAAGCGUUACUCGGAAUCACUGGGCGUAAAGCGCGCGCAGGCGGCUUGAUAAGGUGGAUGUGAAAGCCUACGGCUCAACCGUAGAACUGCAUCCAAAACUGUCAGGCUAGAGUGUGAGAGAGGAAGAUGGAAUUAGUUGUGUAGGGGUAAAAUCCGUAGAGAUAACUAGGAAUACCAAAAGCGAAGGCAAUCUUCUGGAACACUACUGACGCUGAGGCGCGAAGGCGUGGGGAGCAAACAGAAUUAGAUACACCGGUAGUCC